AUCUUAUAACACUGCUUUUUAUCACAUUAUCCCCCUCCUCUGCAACCUUCCAUGGUUCCCCAUUACCUUGAGAUAAACUGCAAAUGCAUAUCUUUUACAUACUGUCAACAGCAGAGCUUUUCUAGCUGUACUUUCCUACUGCCGUAUAUAAGCCCCCCUGAGAUCUUAUUGGUAUCCUUAUUGUCUCCUAAACUUCAUACAUACGUUUUUAUGUAUAUGCAGG
rnacentral:lncRNA from 1 species